rnacentral:sRNA from 1 species
UUUUUUCGUGUGCAAGGAUUUUAUUGAUUAAAUGCGUUUGAGUUAUACAGAGCCGAAAAUGAAAAAAUCUUUUCGGAUACAAAGCCGACGGGUACAUAGAAACCCCCAGAGACAUGAGGCCAAAAAAGGCGAACAAACAAAACAAGCCUUAAAAGAAAAUAUACAAAGAUAACAGUUACAAGUAAUAGGUAAAGCCUCCAAAACAACAACACUGAAAAUUCUUCCCAACAAGCAGCCGAUUAACACUUUCAUGGAACAGGUAACAGCUACCGAAGUAAUAGUUAAAGUCUCCAUUUUCUUCUGUUUUAUA